AAAUAGCCCCGGUAGCAGCGGCAUCCCUCGCUUUUUAGCGAGGAUACAGCGAAUAACGGGACAGCUC
rnacentral:sRNA from 1 species